rnacentral:rRNA from 1 species
GUGACAGCCCCGUACACAAAAGCGCAUGUGCUGUGAGCUCGAUGAGUAGGGCGGGACACGUGGUAUCCUGUCUGAAUAUGGGGGGACCAUCCUCCAAGGCUAAAUACUCCUGACUGACCGAUAGUGAACCAGUACCGUGAGGGAAAGGCGAAAAGAACCCCGGCGAGGGGAGUGAAAAAGAACCUGAAACCGUGUACGUACAAGCAGUGGGAGCACCCUUUGGGUGUGACUGCGUACCUUUUGUAUAAUGGGUCAGCGACUUAUAUUCUGUAGCAAGGUUAACCGAAUAGGGGAGCCGGAGGGAAACCGAGUCUUAACCGGGCGUUAAGUUGCAGGGUAUAGACCCGAAACCCGGUGAUCUAGCCAUGGGCAGGUUGAAGGUUGGGUAACACUAACUGGAGGACCGAACCGACUAAUGUUGAAAAAUUAGCGGAUGACCUGUGGCUGGGGGUGAAAGGCCAAUCAAACCGGGAGAUAGCUGGUUCUCCCCGAAAGCUAUUUAGGUAGCGCCUCGUGAAUUCAUCUCCGGGGGUAG